CAAGAAGUAUAAUCACGAGGCUGC
rnacentral:siRNA from 1 species